UAAUAAGUGUUUUAUGGCACUUUUUAAAUCCAUAUCCACCUUGUGUGCAAUGUCAGUCGAUCUUCUUCAUGGAGAUCGACCAAACAUCAACCUUUAUUUUUUAACAUCUCUGUCUGAAAAAUAUUAUGAAUAAACAAUUCAAAAUA
rnacentral:misc_RNA from 1 species